AGCGAACGCUAGCGGCGGGCUUAACACAUGCAAGUCGAGCGCCUUACUUCGGUAAGGAGUGGCGGACGGGUGAGUAACACGUAGGUUAUCUGCCCCGGGGUGAGGGACAACUGAGGGAAACUUCAGCUAAUACCACAUAUGGCCUACGGGUCAAAGGCUUCGGCCGCCCUGGGAUGAGCCUGCGUCCCAUUAUUUAAUCCUAGUUGGUGGGGUAAUGGCCUACCAAGGGUACGAUGGGUAGCUGGUUUGAGAGAAUGAUCAGCCACACUGGAACUGAGACACGGUCCAGACUCCUACGGGAGGCAGCAGUGGGGAAUAUUGCGCAAUGGGCGAAAGACCUGACGCAGCCACGCCGCGUGAGUGAUGAAGGCCCGAGGGUCGUAAAGCUCUGUCGGGA
rnacentral:rRNA from 1 species